CACGUAGGGUGCGAGCGUUGUCCGGAAUUAUUGGGCGUAAAGAGCUCGUAGGCGGUGUGUCGCGUCGGCCGUGAAAACCUGCAGCUUAACUGUGGGCUUGCGGUCGAUACGGGCAUCACUGGAGUUCGGCAGGGGAGACUGGAAUUCCUGGUGUAGCGGUGAAAUGCGCAGAUAUCAGGAGGAACACCGGUGGCGAAGGCGGGUCUCUGAGCCGAUACUGACGCUGAGGAGCGAAAGCGUGGGGAGCGAACAGG
rnacentral:rRNA from 1 species